rnacentral:lncRNA from 13 species
UUUCCCUCUCUUUCUUUCCCUGUAACAAUCACUCUCUCUCUCUCAGAACCUGUUUCUGCUGUGAGACUGGUGGCCAACAACUUUUGGAAUUCAAAAGCUCUGUCAGUCUGUUUUGAUAUUUCUCUGGCUCCUCCCUCUCUUACCGCUGGCUGAAUGUCACAGCCAGUAAUGGAAUUCAGCUUAGUGAUGGGAACAGUACUCUCACCAUAGUCAGUGUGACUCGAUACAACGAUGGGCCGUUUAGCUGUAAUGAACCACUGAGCCUCUACAUCUCAGUAUCAGCUGUCUACUCUGACCAUGUCCUGCUCUGCCCAGUCCAACCCUCAGGCUGAGUUUCAAUGGGCUUUCAAUGGGAACCAGCUGAAUGGGACAAAUCCAGAUCUGAAGCUAUACAGUGCUGUGGAGAGCCAGAGUGGCCUAAGCUCCUGCCUGGCUUUCAACAACAGAACCAUGAGCUACAUCAACGUCACCAGACAGAUCACCAUCAGCUGUGGGUCAGUGUCAGUACAGCUGGGGAUUUCUGGACCUGUCAUCCUGAGAAGGAACAUUUCUGCUGUAAUUGCAUCCUGAUACAGAAUAUAUCUCUCAUUCCACUAUCAUGCUGUCGAUGGAAUUAUUUAUCUGAACAUUUUAGCAAAACAUCCUUCAUUGUCUUUUUUCAUUAUUGAAGAUUUAUUCUUCCAGAUUAGUAUCACAAUGAAGAAUCAUAUAUCAUGUACAGUAUUUCAACACCUCUCAGUACUGUAAUUUGCUCGAGACCUGGUGGAAUAACCAAAGUAUAUCAAGCAUUCUUGCUGGAAUAUGACUCUGAUUUGAAUAUAAAGUUCUUAAUUGUUUUGAUAAAGUUGUUUUAAACAAACUAUUAUUUUCAAUAAAUCUGACUGUUCAAUAAUGGUACACAGUGCAUUCAUGCAACAUGUUCUACAGUAUAUGGAAAGGAAAGGUAUGUGUUUAUUUAACAGAACAAUACUAACACAUCACUCCUAUUCCUUAUUGCUAUGAGCUGACUGAAAACAGUCAUAAAGCAUACCUCAUUUGAGACAGUAUAGAUUAUGAUAAAAUAAGUUCCAAGCAUCACACACUUCAAACCCUUAAUCAUAGAUAUAAAGCAGUGUUCUAUAUGCCCUUGACCCUGUUCAGUGUUUACAUCUGUCAACGUGUUGGUGACAUUCAUAAGGAAUUACUCUUCACAACAACCCUGCAUGUGAGCUGAAUCUGCUGGGGGUGGAACCACUAUACCAUUAUUCAGACGAAUGCCAUUUACCUGUCAGGAACACAAAGAUGGUCACCAAGUUAUGGAUGUUUUUAGCUUUAC